rnacentral:rRNA from 1 species
UACAGAGGUCUCAAGCGUUGUUCGGAUUCAUUGGGCGUAAAGGGUGCGUAGGUGGCGCCGUAAGUCGGGUGUGAAAUUUCGGAGCUUAACUCCGAAACUGCAUUCGAUACUGCGGUGCUUGAGGACUGGAGAGGAGAGUGGAAUUCCUGGUGUAGCGGUGAAAUGCGUAGAUAUCUGGAGGAACACCGGUGGCGAAGGCGACAUCCUGGACCGGUAUUGACGCUGAGGCGCGAAAGCCAGGGGAGCAAACGGG